CACGUAGGGGGCAAGCGUUGUCCGGAUUUAUUGGGCGUAAAGAGCUCGUAGGCGGUUCGGUAAGUCGGGUGUGAAACCUCCAGGCUCAACCUGGAGACGCCACCCGAUACUGCUGUGACUCGAGUCCGGUAGGGGAGCGUGGAAUUCCUGGUGUAGCCGUGAAAUGCGCAGAUAUCAGGAGGAACACCAGCGGCGAAGGCGGCGCUCUGGGCCGGUACUGACGCUCAGACACGACAGCAUGGGGAGCGAACGGG
rnacentral:rRNA from 1 species